GAGAUAUGGAAGAUUAAAAAGCUUAUAAAAGCACUUGAAGCUGCUCGAGGCAAUGGCACAAGCAUGAUUUCUCUCAUCAUGCCGCCUCGUGAUCAGGUAUCCCGUGUUACUAAGAUGCUUGGUGAUGAGUUUGGAACUGCUUCAAACAUUAAAAGCAGGGUCAAUCGUCAGUCCGUGUUAGGUGCAAUUACUUCUGCUCAGCAAAGGCUCAAACUUUACAACAAGGUUCCUCCAAAUGGGCUUGUGCUUUACACUGGAACAAUUGUUACUGAAGACGGAAAGGAAAAGAAGGUUACAAUUGACUUUGAGCCUUUUAGGCCCAUAAAUGCAUCUCUUUACCUGUGUGACAACAAGUUUCAUACAGAAGCUCUAAAUGAGCUUUUGGAAUCUGAUGACAAGUUUGGCUUUAUUGU
rnacentral:misc_RNA from 1 species